rnacentral:rRNA from 1 species
UGGGGAAUAUUGGACAAUGGGCGAAAGCCUGAUCCAGCCAUGCCGCGUGUGCGAAGAAGGUCUUCGGAUUGUAAAGCACUUUAAGUUGGGAGGAAGGGCAGUAAGCGAAUACCUUGCUGUUUUGACGUUACCGACAGAAUAAGCACCGGCUAACUCUGUGCCAGCAGCCGCGGUAAUACAGAGGGUGCAAGCGUUAAUCGGAAUUACUGGGCGUAAAGCGCGCGUAGGUGGUUCGUUAAGUUGAAUGUGAAAGCCCCGGGCUCAACCUGGGAACUGCAUCCAAAACUGGCGAGCUAGAGUAGGGCAGAGGGUGGUGGAAUUUCCUGUGUAGCGGUGAAAUGCGUAGAUAGAGGAAGGAACACCAGUGGCGAAGGCGACCACCUGGGCUCAUACUGACACUGAGGUGCGAAAGCGUGGGGAGCAAACAGG